GAUCCUGGCUCAGGAUGAACGCUAGCUACAGGCUUAACACAUGCAAGUCGAGGGGAAACGACAUCGAAAGCUUGCUUUUGAUGGGCGUCGACCGGCGCACGGGUGAGUAACGCGUAUCCAACCCUGCCCACCCACUUGGGGAGUAACCUUGCGAAAGUAAAGACUAAUACCCAACUAGAUAUCUCUAGAAGACAUCUGAAGAAGAUUAAAGUAAUUACUAUCGGUGGUAUGGAGUGGGGAGGUGCGU
rnacentral:rRNA from 1 species